rnacentral:rRNA from 1 species
UACGUAGGGGGCGAGCGUUGUCCGAAGUUACUGGGCGUAAAGCGCGCGUAGGCGGGAGAUUAAGUGAGAGGUGAAAGGCUGGGGCUCAACCCCAUGCAGUGCCUCUCAUACUGGUCUUCUUGAGGGCGGUAGGGAGAAGUGGAAUGGCUGGUGUAGCGGUGAAAUGCGUAGAUAUCAGUCGGAACACCGGUGGCGAAGGCGGCUUCUUGGGCCGUUCCUGACGCUGAGGAGCGAAAGCGUGGGGAGCGAACAGG